rnacentral:rRNA from 1 species
CCCUUAGAUGUCCUGGGCCGCACGCGCGCUACACUGAGUGUCUGAGAUACGAGUCUGCCUGGUCCGGCAAGGUCUAGGUAAUCGCUAAAAGACACAUCAUGCUUGGGAUAGAUUAUUGCAAAUAUUAAUCUUGAACGAGGAAUUCCUAGUAAGCGCAAGUCCACAGCUUGCGUUGAUUACGUCCCUGCCCUUUGUACACACCGCCCGUCGCUACUACUGAUUGGAUGUUUAAGCGAGGUUCUCGAACUGCUAGCGACUUAGCUUCGGUGAGGUCGCAGUGUGGGAAGUGAACCUAGCUUUGGUGUCUAGAGGAAGUAAAAGUCGUAACA